rnacentral:rRNA from 1 species
CACGUAGGGGACGAGCGUUGUCCGGAUUCAUUGGGCGUAAAGCGCGCGUAGGCGGCUCGGAACGUCGGUCGUGAAAUGCCGGGCUCAACCCCGGGACUGCGUCCGAUACUCCCGAGCUGGAGGCAGGUAGGGGAGAUCGGAAUUCCUGGUGUAGCGGUGAAAUGCGCAGAUAUCAGGAGGAACACCGGUGGCGAAGGCGGAUCUCUGGGCCUUGCCUGACGCUGAGGCGCGAAAGCUAGGGGAGCGAACAGGA